CAAAAACACCGCCUCCCGUCCUCAUGAGAGGUCCAGCCUGCCCAGUGGAUUUACUAAACGGCCGCGGUACCCUAACCGUGCUAAGGUAGCGCAAUCACUUGUCCCCUAAAUAGGGACUCGUAUGAACGGCACCACGAGGGUUAUCCUGUCUCCCCCCUUUAAUCAGUGAAACUGACCUCCCCGUGAAGAGGCGGGGAUAAGUAUAUAAGACGAGAAGACCCCAUGGAGCUUUAAAUACACACCACCUACUUCUCCUUAUAUCUAUAAAACCAAGUAGCUCUGGCCACUGUUUUAGGUUGGGGCGACCACGGAGUAAAACUCAACCUCCGAGACGAACAACUAAUUCAAGAACAACAACUCAAAAAAUCAAAACUGACGUAAUUGACCCAAGCUCAUUUGAUCAACGAACCAAGUUACCCUGGGGAUAACAGCGCAAUCCAUUUCAAGAGCCCCUAUCAACAAAUGGGUUUACGACCUCGAUGUUGGAUCAGGGUACCCCAGUGGUGUAGCCGCUACUAAAGGUUCGUUUGUUCAACGAUUAAAACCCUA
rnacentral:rRNA from 1 species